CAAUUACGAGCACGAGAAUUGAAAGACAUGAAAAUUGUCAAUUCUCAACGGCAUCUAGUAGAUAGAUAGAAUAUUUCCAGGAACAAGAAAAUCAGAAGAAUUUUUCUCUCCAUUCACUAUUAUUAUGCGUCUUCGACUUUUAUUAGUUUCUUUUUUUCUUUAAUGCAAUAG
rnacentral:rRNA from 1 species